AGUGGAAUAGCUGGGUCAAAUGGUGGUUCCACUCCAAAUUUCCUAAGGAAUUUCCAUACUGCUUUCCAGAUUGGCUUCACCAAUUUGUAAUUCCACCAGCAAU
rnacentral:pre_miRNA from 1 species